UUAAGCUGCAUUAGUGAAAACAGACAAUGGUACACUGUUCUAUAAUUCUGCUCUUUGUCUUCACAUGUACUGUGUAUGGAAAUGAAAUCAGACCAACUAAAACUGAGGAGUUUGCAGUUGAGGGUUCAAGUGUUAUAUUAUCCUGCAGUUAUUCAUCUGCACGUUCUUUAUUCUGGUACCGUCAGUAUCCCGGAUCAGCUCCUGAAUUCCUUGUAACCAUCACAUAUCGAGCAACAGAAGCUAAGAAUUCUGAUGUAGAUCCCAGAUUCACUGCUAAACCCAACAAAGAAAAGCAAAACCAUGUGGAUCUGGAGAUCUCCUCUGCUAAAGUGACAGACUCUGCUCUGUACUACUGUGCCCUGACGCCCACAGUGACAGGAAACACAAGAACACUGUACAAAAACCUGACACAUCUGAGGAGACAAAUGUAUUUAUAG